UGUUAUUGUCAUGAUGGCAGUCAUGACUCUGUUUUUUCCCAGUGUUUCCCCUUGUUUUCCCCAUCCUUGUGUUUCUUGUGUUUACCUGUGGGUCUCUCCUUGUGGUCCCUGUGUUUGUGUGUUGUGGGCAUGGCAUACCUUCCUGGUCUCUGCUGGAUAAUCACCAGAUCAAGCACACCUGUUGUUCAUCAGCUCACCUGCCAUCCAUCAGUUCAUCACCUCACCAGCAUAUAAACCCUGGCUUUUCACCCACACUUCGUCAGAUCGUUUGUUCAGCUACCUUGGUCCACCACCAUCUCCACCACUGGCUUGCCUGCUCUCCACCAACCAUCUCCGACGACCUGUCCUCCGUGCCCACACCAUUCCCUCAGCUACCUCACCGGACCACUCCUGCCAAAUUAUAAUAAAUUCCCUUGUUUGUCAAACUCC